rnacentral:rRNA from 1 species
GAUGAACGCUGGCGGCGUGCCUAAUACAUGCAAGUCGAGCGAACGGACGAGAAGCUUGCUUCUCUGAUGUUAGCGGCGGACGGGUGAGUAAAACGUGGAUAACCUACCUAUAAGACUGGGAUAACUUCGGGAAACCGGAGCUAAUACCGGAUAAUAUUUUGAACCGCAUGGUUCAAAAGUGAAAGACGUUCUUGCCGUCACUUAUCGAUGGAUCCGCGCUGCAUUAGCUAGUUGGUAAGGUAACGGCUUACCAAGGCAACGAUGCAUAGCCGACCUGAGAGGGUGAUCCGCCACACUGGAACUGAGACACGGUCCAGACUCCAACGGGAGGCAGCAGUAGGGAAUAUUCCGCAAUGGGCGAAAGCCUGACGGAGCAACGACGCGUGAAUGAUGAAGGUCUUCGGAUCGUAAAACUCUGUUAUUAGGGAAGAACAUAUGUGUAAGUAACUGUGAACAUCUUGACGGUACCUAAUCAGAAAGCAACGGCUAACUACGUG